CUGAGGUUGUGCGGUUUGCCCGUGAGCGGGCUGCCGGCCACCCGUCCUUGCGUCAUAUGCAGCGGGGAGACCCGAGAGAAUCACUUCGGCGGAGGUGCCGUGGGACUCCUGGCGACGGGAGGACCGCGGCCGCCGCCGGUCGUAGGAAGCAAAAGUCUGUUUUGCAGCAGUGUAAGAAUGUCUGGAGAAACGAAAACCGAAACGAAGAA
rnacentral:misc_RNA from 1 species